rnacentral:rRNA from 1 species
GACGAACGCUGGCGGCGUGCUUAACACAUGCAAGUCGAGCGGUAAGGCCCUUUCGGGGGUACGACGAGCGGCGAACGGGUAGGAGUAACACGUGGGUGGACCUCGCCCUCCAGCUCUGGGAGUAAGACCCGGGAAACCGUAGGGUCGUAAUACUGGAUAUGACUCCAUGACGCAUGUUGUGGGGUGGAAAGCCUUGUGCGGCUGAGGAUGGGCCCGCGGCCUAUCAGCUUGUUGGUGGGGGGA